rnacentral:rRNA from 1 species
UGUCGGCGUGCUUAACACAUGCAAGUCGAACGGAAAGGCCCUGCUUUUGUGGGGUGCUCGAGUGGCGAACGGGUGAGUAACACGUGAGUAACCUGCCCUUGACUUUGGGAUAACUUCAGGAAACUGGGGCUAAUACCGGAUAGGAGCUCCUGCUGCAUGGUGGGGGUUGGAAAGUUUCGGCGGUUGGGGAUGGACUCGCGGCUUAUCAGCUUGUUGGUGGGGUAGUGGCUUACCAAGGCUUUGACGGGUAGCCGGCCUGAGAGGGUGACCGGCCACAUUGGGACUGAGAUACGGCCCAGACUCCUACGGGAGGCAGCAGUGGGGAAUAUUGCACAAUGGGCGGAAGCCUGAUGCAGCAACGCCGCGUGCGGGAUGACGGCCUUCGGGUUGUAAACCGCUUUCGCCUGUGACGAAGCGUGAGUGACGGUAAUGGGUAAAGAAGCACCGGCUAACUACGUGCCAGCAGCCGCGGUGAUACGUAGGGUGCGAGCGUUGUCCGGAUUUAUUGGGCGUAAAGGGCUCGUAGGUGGUUGAUCGCGUCGGAAGUGUAAUCUUGGGGCUUAACCCUGAGCGUGCUUUCGAUACGGGUUGACUUGAGGAAGGUAGGGGAGAAUGGAAUUCCUGGUGGAGCGGUGGAAUGCGCAGAUAUCAGGAGGAACACCAGUGGCGAAGGCGGUUCUCUGGGCCUUUCCUGACGCUGAGGAGCGAAAGCGUGGGGAGCGAACAGGCUUAGAUACCCUGGUAGUCCACGCUGUAAACGGUGGGUACUAGGUGUGGGGUCCAUUCCACGGGUUCCGUGCCGUAGCUAACGCUUUAAGUACCCCGCCUGGGGAGUACGGCCGCAAGGCUAAAACUCAAAGGAAUUGACGGGGCCCCGCACAAGCGGCGGAGCAUGCGGAUUAAUUCGAUGCAACGCGUAGAACCUUACCUGGGUUUGACAUGGAUCGGGAGUGCUCAGAGAUGGGUGUGCCUCUUUUGGGGUCGGUUCACAGGUGGUGCAUGGCUGUCGUCAGCUCGUGUCGUGAGAUGUUGGGUUAAGUCCCGCAACGAGCGCAACCCUUGUUCACUGUUGCCAGCACGUUAUGGUGGGGACUCAGUGGAGACCGCCGGGGUCAACUCGGAGGAAGGUGGGGAUGACGUCAAGUCAUCAUGCCCCUUAUGUCCAGGGCUUCACGCAUGCUACAAUGGCUGGUACAGAGAGUGGCGAGCCUGUGAGGGUGAGCGAAUCUCGGAAAGCCGGUCUCAGUUCGGAUUGGGGUCUGCAACUCGACCUCAUGAAGUCGGAGUCGCUAGUAAUCGCAGAUCAGCAACGCUGCGGUGAAUACGUUCCCGGGGCUUGUACACACCGCCCGUCAAGUCAUGAAAGUUGGUAACACCCGAAGCCGGUGGCCUAACCGUUGUGGGGGAGCCGUCGAAGGUGGGACUGGUGAUUAGG